UACAGAGGUCCCAAGCGUUGUUCGGAUUCACUGGGCGUAAAGGGUGCGUAGGUGGCCGGGUAAGUCUGACGUGAAAUCUCCGAGCCUAACUCGGAAACUGCAUCGGAUACUAUCCGGCUUGAGGAUUGGAGGGGGGACUGGAAUACUUGGUGUAGCAGUGAAAUGCGUAGAUAUCCGGAGGAACACCGGUGGCGAAGGCGGCAUCCUGGACCGACACUGACGCUGAGGAGCGAAAGCCAGGGGAGCAAACGGG
rnacentral:rRNA from 1 species